rnacentral:lncRNA from 1 species
UUUACCUAAGUGCAAGGUCUCACAAGGCAACCAAGAAGAAAAUAGUUUGCCUAAGGACAACGUCUGACAAGACAAUCGUGCAAGAAGAAAGCGUUUUCCUAAGCACGAGGUCUGACAAGGAAAACAUUGCAUGAGAAGGAGGUUUUCCUAAGCACGAGGUAUGACAAGGCAAACAAUGCAUGAGAAUGAGGUUUGUCUAAG